AAGGAUCAUUAUUGAAUAAACUUGAACAGGCUGUUGCUGGUCCUCCUGGGGGCAUGUGCACGCUUGUCAUCUUUAUCAUUUCUCCAAACUGUGCACCUCUUGUAGACCUGGAGCUGGAUUUCAUUCGAGUUGGGACUGCUGUGCUUCACAAGUCAGCUUUGCCUUUGCAGGUCUAUGUUCAUUUUUUCUACAAAACCUGUUUAGAAUGGUUGGCCUAUAUAUAUAAAAGUUAUACAACUUUCAGCAACGGAUCUCUUGGCUCUC
rnacentral:misc_RNA from 1 species